rnacentral:rRNA from 1 species
AGUGAACGCUGGCGGUAGGCCUAACACAUGCAAGUCGAACGGCAGCACAGUAAGAGCUUGCUCUUACGGGUGGCGAGUGGCGGACGGGUGAGGAAUACAUCGGAAUCUACUUUUUCGUGGGGGAUAACGUAGGGAAACUUACGCUAAUACCGCAUACGACCUACGGGUGAAAGCAGGGGAUCUUCGGACCUUGCGCGAUUGAAUGAGCCGAUGUCGGAUUAGCUAGUUGGCGGGGUAAAGGCCCACCAAGGCGACGAUCCGUAGCUGGUCUGAGAGGAUGAUCAGCCACACUGGAACUGAGACACGGUCCAGACUCCUACGGGAGGCAGCAGGGGGGAAUAUUGGACAAGGGGCGCAAGCCUGAUCCAGCCAUACCGCGUGGGUGAAGAAGGCCUUCGGGUUGUAAAGCCCUUUUGUUGGGAAAGAAAAGCAGCAGGUUAAGACCCCGCUGUUCUGACGGUACCCAAAGAAUAAGCACCGGCUAACUUCGU